rnacentral:rRNA from 1 species
GACGUAGGGGGCGAGCGUUAUCCGGAUUCACUGGGCGUAAAGGGCGCGCAGGCGGCUAUGUAAGUCCAGCGUGAAAUCCCAUGGCUUAACUGUGGAACUGCGUCGGAUACUGCAUUGGCUUGAGGGCGGUAGAGGCUUCUGGAACUAGCGGUGUAGCGGUGAAAUGCGCAGAUAUCGCUAGGAACGCCGGUGGCGAAGGCGGGAAGCUGGGCCGAUCCUGACGCUGAGGCGCGAAAGCUAGGGGAGCGAACCGG